rnacentral:rRNA from 1 species
AUUACUUCCCUGCCCUUUGUACACACCGCCCGUCGCUACUACCGAUUGAAUGGCUUAGUGAGACUUUCGGAUGUGUUUGGAGCCGCUGGCAACAGUGACACCUUGCGCAGAAGUUAUUCAAACUUGGUCAUUUAGAGGAAGUAAAAGUCGUAACAAGGUUUCCGUAGGUGAACCUGCGGAAGGAUCAUUA